AGCGGCCUCCGGCCCCUCCCGCGCGGCGGGCGGCGCAUGCGCGGUGGCCGGGAGCAGCAUGGCGGCGCCCUUCCUUGCGGCGGCGGGCGAGGGCCGGGACCAGCGGUGUGGCGAGGGAGACCUUUCGGCGGUCGCAGGCUCGGGGGUGUCUCUUGGGGCGGCCCCGAGGACUGAGUUGCCCGAUCCUCCUCUGGGGGUGUCGUUGACUGCGUCAGGCUUAGACUAGCUGCUGUUGCUGAAGCUGAAGAGAACAGAAAAAGGCGAACCAGCUGAAGAAUGAAGCAAAGCAGAUCCAGCUGGAAGCUGCCUCCAUCUGCAGAAUAGAGAAACCCUGCCUCUUUGAGUGAGGAACGCUCCUAAUUAAUAGAUCUCGGCAGAUUACAUCACUAACGUAUAACGCAGGACAGAUGACAGUUGAGUAACCGGCGCUACAGAAGAGGAAGGGGGGAGAGAGCGAGAUGGAGAGAGAGAAGUGUCUGAACUGUAUGUUUCUCCAGGUGGUGCCAAAAGUGGGAGCUGCGAUGAAAGAAGCCUUCUCGACCCAUCCGUAUCUGGAGCGAUGUCACUCUGGAAGCCGGAGGCUGGGUACAUGUGAAACACCACCAGAGGAAGAAUCCUCUUGCACCUCAGUGGAAGGGUCCAUUUCAAGUACUGUUAACCUCACAGACGGCAGAGAACGUGGAAGGAACGAAAGCCUGGAUACGGGUGGCACAUUGUAAAAGAAGUACAUUGUCGCGACGGGAACUAGCCCCGAGCCAGAAGCGGGGAAUGGUACAAAGCAGACCGUUUCCCUCAAGGUCAAAUAUGGACUGGGAAAUAGGAGAGUGUACACCUCUCAAACUGAUGUUGAAAAGGAAAUAGUCUAGUGAAUUACUCUAGCGAACAGUAUAAUUGGGAAAGUUAUACUGACUUAGAGAUCUUACUGAGAUUUCUGGUCUCUUUUCUGUUUGUAACGUUAUUUUUCAUAAUACUCAUUGUGAACCACUGUCAGGUUUUAAAAUACUAUGGAGAUACUGCCUGUUACAUCUUUGCCCUGCGCUGUAAGAGGGAUGUGCUUUAGGGCGGUGUAAUUCUUAGUACAAUCUCUUGCAAAAAAUUGCAAGAUCGACGCAUUCUUUGGAUUGUUGGAUACGUACAGCGUUGGCUGUCUUCCCACUGACUCCGGGCUCCGCUGCAGGCCCACACGCUAAGCCAGAUCCAGAUGCGUAUAGCCUGUUUCAUCUCGUGAUGUUGGCUGCAACAUCCAAUGUUAAUUGGGAGCAGAGCAGGUGAGCGGAGCGCCACGGCGCUUCCGAGGGGGCUGUCAUCGGUGUCGACUGGCGUGAAAUCGACUGACCAGCACUCUGUCUGCAGAUGAGGAAGAGGAACCGUGCGAUUGCAGUGACAUCCUAGUUAGCUUGGGUGGUCUUUGUCGAGGACGGAUUCUGAUUCCCAGGCCGCUCAAAGCUAAGUUGAGGUACCAACGCUAUCCACACGUGGGGUGGCAGGAAGGGGUUUUACAUUCAGUGCAGUGGAGAGGGCAGUUUGGAACAGGACACGCUUGGGCAGAGAGAGGGUCCAUGUUCCUUUCCACAAAAUAUGUGCAUCUGAUGGGCAGGGCAGUUCCUGCCUGUGUCUCUGUUGUUGUGUAGUUUGUGUAGUCUGUCUCCUGUGUUCUAUGCCAUACCUUUAUCAAUUCAUGAUGUUCCUGUUGUUCUUUGUGCCCGGCGGGCAUGUAGCUAGCCAUCCCUAGGGUCUUGCACAUGUCGACUCAUCGGCAUAGCACCAAUCAAGGGCCGCUUCACUUGUGUUACAAGCUCAAAGCACGGAUCGGUCUUGCGUCUCGGAAGUUUCCCGUGUCUUUCACCGUCUCUUCCGUGGUGGCAUUCCGGUCCGUUGUCAGCUCCACUCUCAAGCCGUUUGUUUUACACAGAGCCCUUUUUCUGAGCCUUCUUCCCUGCAUCCUUGUGUUCUUAGGUCUUAGAGCCAUGCUUCUUGCACAUCUGUCAUCUCAGUUUUGACCAUAACAUCUUGUCAUGGAUCAUGACGUUUGACUCUUUCUCUGGGGCCGCCUUAGGGCCUCCCCAUUUUGUGCUUGCAGCCCGGUAGGUCUCGCUGCCUGACAGCGUCUGCAGUCCGGGAGUCAUUUUUCUUGCUGAGAGUUUUCUCUUAUCUCUGUGUUGCAGCAUUUGUGGUGUUUGUGUGUGUCCGGGUAGCAGCUCCUCUGUCUGGGGGGCGUAGCAAUGGCGGGGCCAGGGGAAGAAUAGCAACGAGAGCCUCUGCUUAACCUUGAUCUGCAAUCUAUGACUGUUGAGGCACUGACCGUGCGGUGCAUUUCAGGUCAAGUAGCUUUCUGCAGCGGGCAAGGGUGGUCACUUCCAUAGUGAUUUGUAGGUGCUGAAGGGGUGGCUGGAGCCUUCUGGGAGAGGCUGCUCAAGCGGUUGUUGAGCAGAUUGGGUAUCCAAGCUGUUAAGGCUUGAAUGUGUAGGGCUUAGUGUUAGGGUGGUUUUGUGGUUUGUUUUUGUUUUGUUUUGUUUCGUUUUUUAGUUUAAUGGCAGGCUGCAGUUGGGAUCUAGAUGGUAUUCCUAGAUGGGAACAAGACCUCUAGCAUUGUUCAGCUAUCGCUCCUGUGUAUAUAUAAAAUAAAAAAAAAGGACACUAAACCAAAAAAAAGGUAUAUUUUAUAUAUGAAGGAAUUUAAAAUAGAAAAAAGUCUGGAUAGAGCUAUCCACAUCUAAUAUGUGUUACACAGUAAGUCUAAAUAGAUAUUAUAUGUAAUCUAGAGAUUAUAAAUAAUAUUUAUAAAUAGAGAUUAUAUAUAAAUGUAAAUAGAUAUCUAAGUCCAAG
rnacentral:lncRNA from 1 species